rnacentral:rRNA from 1 species
CUUUAUCGGAGAGUUUGAUCCUGGCUCAGGACGAACGCUGGCGGCGUGCCUAAUACAUGCAAGUCGAGCGGACAGAUGGGAGCUUGCUCCCUGA